GGAUAAUCAAAACUCGACUAUAAAUAACUAAUGGAACGACGAACGUGUUUAGUGAAGUUAUUUUCUAAAGCAGCGUACAGGCAAAAUGAGUGCUUUCCUGGAGCAAAUCCUCAAGCUGUUCCAGAAGGAAGUAAGCUGCCACAUCAUGAGAGGGCCUAUGGAGGGGGCCAAUGGCAAGGAACUGCAGGUGGCCUAUAUUUGCUGAGAGUGGCCCCCAACUGACAUCCAGCAACAAAACAGGGCCUCAGUCCUACAACCACAAGGAGAUGAAUUCUGCCAAUGACAUGAAGAAGCUUGGAAGUUCUUUCCCCAGUCUAGCCUCUGAUGAGCCCACAGCCUUGACCAACAUCUGGAUUGCAGCCUUUUGAGACCCAGAGCAGAGGGCACAGCUAAGCUGAAUCUGGACUUCUGAACUAUGGAAACUGUGAGAUAAUGAGUAUUGUUUUGAGCCUCUAAGUUUUUGGUAAUUUGUUAUGCAGCAAUAAAAAAC
rnacentral:lncRNA from 1 species